rnacentral:rRNA from 1 species
GAUGAACGCUGGCGGCGUGCCUAAUACAUGCAAGUCGAGCGAACAGACGAGGAGCUUGCUCCUUCGACGUUAGCGGCGGACGGGUGAGUAACACGUAGGUAACCUACCUAUAAGACUGGGAUAACUUCGGGAAACCGGAGCUAAUACCGGAUAAUAUUUCGAACCGCAUGGUUCGAUAGUGAAAGAUGGCUUUGCUAUCACUUAUAGAUGGACCUGCGCCGUAUUAGCUAGUUGGUAAGGUAACGGCUUACCAAGGCAACGAUACGUAGCCGACCUGAGAGGGUGAUCGGCCACACUGGAACUGAGACACGGUCCAGACUCCUACGGGAGGCAGCAGUAGGGAAUCUUCCGCAAUGGGCGAAAGCCUGACGGAGCAACGCCGCGUGGGUGAUGAAGGUCUUCGGAUCGUAAAACUCUGUUAUUAGGGAAGAACAAACGUGUAAGUAACGGUGCACGUCUUGACGGUACCUAAUCAGAAAGCCACGGCUAACUACGU